rnacentral:rRNA from 1 species
AUGGCAAGGAGUUGGUUUUGGAAUUUGACGGGCCUCCAGCAUCUCUACCUUGCUGAAACUCAACUAUAUGGUCAAGCUUCUGAUGCACUGGCACAUAUGACGUCCCUCCAAGUCCUUGAUUUGUCAUCUAUUAACAUGGUGAUGAUGACUACAAGCUUCAGAAACCUAUGCAAUAUGAGAAUCCUGGACCUUUCUGCCUGUCAAAUUGUUGGAAAUAUAAAGGAUAUUGUAGGGAGGAUGCCCCAGUGUCCCUUGAAGAAACUGCAGGAGUUGCAUUUGGGCUACAACAAUAUCAGUGGAAUCAUGCCGAAUCGGACAGCACACUUGAGCAGCCUAGUCGUUCUUGACAUCUCUGGGAACAACCUAAGUGGAGGCAUACCACGAGGGGUGGGGCUCCUCUCUAGUUUAAGCAGCCUUGAUCUCUCUUCCAACUAUCUCAGUGGACCUGUGCCAUCUGAGAUUGGUAUGCUUGGCAAUUUAACCAUGAUGGAUCUCGGAGGCAACAACUUGAGUGGUGACUUCACUGAAGAACAUUUUACAAGUCUAACUAGGUUAAAGGAUUUGGGUUUAAGUGGGAAUUCAUUGAGGAUUACAGUUGGUACCGAUUGGAUACCGCCCUUCGUUUCCAGCAUGGUUUCAGUUCCAAGAGGACAUUCGCUGGAUGGAUAUAUCAAGCACAGUUUUUCCGGAAGGUUGCCAUUGUGGAUUAGAGAUCUGGUUGAAUUACGAUUUCUACGUCUAAGCCAGAAUAUGUUUUUUGGAGAAAUCACCGCCACCAUCUCAAAUCUUAGUCGUCUUCACCAUCUGAACCUAGCAGGCAAUGGCUUAUCAGGUGCCAUACCGUGGCAUCUGUCAAAUGUGACGGCCAUGACAAGAAAGUAUGUAAAGGAUUAUAAGGUUGACUCAAAUUAUGGUGAUUACUCGACUGUGAUCCGUACAUAUAAUUUUUCCUCUGUGGUCAUCAAGGGACAUCAACUUGACUAUGGUAUUGGCAUUUGGGAUUUGGUGAGCAUUGACCUAUCUUUCAACCAAUUAACUGGGAGAAUACCAGAAGAAAUAGCUGCUCUUGAUGGGUUGAUAAACUUGAAUCUAUCAUGGAACCAAUUGAGUGGGAAAAUACCAAAUAAGCUUGGGGCCUUGCAUGCUCUGGAAUCACUUGACCUCUCAAGGAACAUGCUUUCUGGUGGAAUCCCUCCAAGCCUGUCAGAUUUAAACUAUUUGAGCUACAUGGACUUGUCUGAUAACAAUCUAACAGGGAGAAUAACAUCAGGUCGUCAGCUUGACACCCUCUACACAGAGGAACCAUCCAUGUAUAGUGGCAACAGUGGUCUUUGUGGCCCUCCUCUUUGA